AACGUAGGACGCAAGCGUUAUCCGGAGUUACUGGGCGUAAAGCGCGGGCAGGCGGCUCGAAACGUCUGAUGUGAAAUCUCCUCGCUCAACGGGGAGAGGCCAUUGGAAACGGUCGAGCUGGAGGGCAGUAGAGGCAGGCGGAAUUCCGGGUGGAGUGGUGAAAUGCGUAGAGAUCCGGAGGAACACCAGAGGCGAAGGCGGCCUACUGGGCUGCACCUGACGCUGAGCCGCGAAAGCCAGGGGAGCGAACGGG
rnacentral:rRNA from 1 species